GGAGAAGUUCCUUGUUGAGCAAUUGUGCACUUGAAUGGUAGAAAGUUGCGAAGGCUGUUAACAUGCCAGAAUGAGAAGAAGCUAGAGCAAGAAUCUCUCAUCUGGAUUUAUUCUGAAGAAGCUUCUGUUUUCUCAAGAAGAAAACAAGAAGUUGCGUGAAGAGUCUUUCCACCUCAUUUUCAAGGAGAGAGUUGUUUUUCUUCAGCAUCCUUUCAGAGACACUAAAGAGAGAUUAAAAAAGAAGGAUAUUUUCUUAUCUUCAUUCCAAAAUGUGGAAAACAAUGAUCUGCCUGGUGGAUAAGGGAAAGGCUGUUGACCUGGCCUACCCCAACUUCAGCAAAGCCUUCAACACUGUCUCCCACAGCAUUCUCCUGAAGAAGCUAGGAGCCCGUGGCUUGGACAGGUACACUCUUUGCUGGGUAAAGAACUGGCUGGAUGGCCAGGACCAGAGGGUGGUGGUGAAUGGAGUCACAUCCAUCUGGCAACCAGUCAUGAGUAGUGUUCCCCAGGGGUUGGUACUGGGGCCUGUCCUCUUCAAUAUCUUUAUUGAUGAUAUGGAUGAGUGCAUUGAGAGCACCCUCGGUAAGUUUGCAGAUGACACCAAGUUGGCUGGAAGUGUUGAUCUGCCUGUGGGUAGCAAGGCCCUAUAGAGGGACUUGGACAGGUUGGAUUGCUGGGCUGAAGCCAAUGGGAUGAGGUUUAACAAGACCAAGUGCCAGGUCCUGCACUUUGGCCGCAACAACUGCAGGCAAUGCUACAGGCUUGGGGCAGAGUAGCUGGAAGACUGUGUAGAGGAAAUGGACCUGGGGAUAUCGAUCAAUGCUCAGCUGAACAUGAGCCAGCAGUGUGCCCAGAUGGCCAGGAAGGCCAAUGGCAUCCUGGCUUGUAUCAGAAAUAGUGUUGCUAGCAGGUACAAGAAAAUAAUUGUACCUCUGUAUUCAGCACUGGUGAGGCUGCACCUCAAGUACUGUGUUCAGUUUUGGGACCCUCACUGCAAGAAAGAUUUGAGGCCCUUGGAGCAUGUCCAAAGAAGGGCAACAAAACUGGUGAGGGUUCUGGAGCACAGCCCUUAUGAGGUGCAGCUGAAGGAGCUGGGAUUGUUCAUUCUGGAGAAAAGGGGGCUCAGGGGAGACUGUACCGCUCUCUGCAACUUUCUGAAUGGAGGUUGUAGUGAGCUGGGGAUCAGCCUCUUUUCUCGUGUAAGUAGUGAUAGGACUAGAGGGAAUGGCCUCAAGUUGUACCAGGGGAGUUUCAGACUGGACAUUAGGAAAUAGUACUUCUCAAAAAAGGUGGUCAGGCUCUGGAAUGGGCUGCCCAGCGAGGUGGUGGAGUCACAGUCCCUGGAGGUGCUCAAGGAACAUUUAGACAUUGUAUUGAGGAGUAUGGUUUAGUGAGAACUGUUUUUGAUAGGUGGACAUUGGACUGGAUGAUCUUGUCUUUUCCAACUUUGGUGAUUCUAUGAUUCAAUGAUUCUGUGUUACUGUAUCAGUUAAGAGAUGCUGGCUCUUUCUUUUCACUGCAUAUGAAACUCAUUUAGAUGUUCUCAACUUGAUCACAUUUAGCUCAGACCUAAUGUGACCCAAAGCAUCAGUGAUCUAACCAACCAAGGUACAUAUUAGGAUAAUCAGAGUCCCGUGUAAGAUAUAUCAUUUGGUAGGCUUAUUAAUGUUGUGUUGCACAUGUCUGGCCCAGUAACAAUAUGCAUAAUUAAGUGCCCAGAUACAGUGACACUGUAUAUGGUUUUGACUCUACUACAUAUCUGUAGUUCACUAAAAUCUCAGUGGAAAAUUUUGGAGUGGGCAAAUCUAUUUAAGACCAGCAGAAACUCAGUAGGCCUUUCUAAUCUAAAAAAUAUGUCUUAAUCCUAUCUUCCUGGUGCAUCACUACUGAUUUCAGUAGAUUUAGUUCUCAGUUGUAGUCCAACACACAGGUUUUUGUACUUUUUAAAGUUGUGGCUUUCUCAUAUUCGUAUUUUAUAAAAAAUUGACAUUAGUUUAGGAAAUCUUUACAUUUGCAUUCAGAAGAGAAUCUGUAGAUAAAUAUAUUCAAAUCACUAACAAAUCAAGGAACUUGUUUCUUGCUUGUUGGUUAACUUAGGUUCAUCCUAUAGUUAUUUGAUGUAUUUUUUCUUUGCCCUUAGUUUUUGGUAUUAUAUCUGAAUGUCUUUCAUUUGUGCGUUAAGCACUAUGGACUAAUCUCUGAAACAUCAUACAUACUCUGGAAAAAUUUUUACUUUGUAUAUGC
ensembl:lncRNA